GUUGAAUGGAGAGAGUCCGUGUACAACCUUCACGUAAGCUCAAAUUGGACAGGGGAAAAGCACUUAUUCAGAGAAGCUCUUGUGACGCGUUUGGAUUCUUGGAUUCCGGCGCCUUCAACCACUGCGUUCACGAGGAUUUAGCACAAGCCGGGAGAAACGAUCAACUCCAACACAACAAUGCGUUAUCCUUCUCACAGAAUUGACUUCAACGAUUAUUACGAUUCAAGGAUUCAAGAACUCGCGGUGUUAAGCAAUCCACCAUGGUUUGCGAUGUUCGAUCUUUAUUGAUAGUUCAGAUACUCGAAGAUCCGCGAUUCAUCUCACUCCAUUAUCGUAUGUGCGGAUGGAAGAAAAACCACAUCGAAAUCGGAUCGGAAAAACUUACCAGAUUAAAGCUCCAAUUACAAUUAGCUUCUCACCAAUUCCGUUACGAGUUGCGAGCUUCUACGGAUUUUGUUGAAGGUUCUUGGUGGAUGAUGAAGGCCUCGCUCGCAUCUCCGCUUUGAGAUGAAGACGAAGACGUAAUACCGGUAUUGCCGAUCGAAAUGAAGAAGAAGUCUCUUGGAUCGAUCUUUGGCGGUUCGGUUGUGAUGAUGAUAAAUUAAUGUGGAAGAAUUGAAGAGUGAAGAUUGGAAGCGGUUGAAGGUUUCGGUGAACGGAGAUUACGGUUACGGUUACGGAUUCGUAGUGGUUGAAGGCUUGGCUAUGGAGUUUUGGAGUUUUUGAUGAAGGUGAUUGUGAAUUGAAAAAAAACGGUGACGGUUACGGUGGUUGAAGGUUUUGGUUGAAGGAUUGGAAGAGUUUGUGAUGAAGUUUGGAAGAAGAAGAUUGGGAGAGAGGAAGAAAUGAGAUUGAGUCUGUUAUGUGGAAAAAUCUGGAAGUGUAGUGAGGUAUGGAAUUGCAUUCCCAGCUUGGCUUGUGCACUUUUUCUUAUGUUGGCUCGCUCGGAGCAGCUUUUUGCUUGUGUAUUUUGCAGGUUUUUUGUAUCGGCUUAUGCGGC